CCAAAGUGGAAAUGUAGCCGCAGAUCUGGAUAUCAUAAAUUGGUUAUUUCUCUCCAAGGAGGAUCCCAUCAAAGAGCAACUGGGGAGUUUUGAAAGACAGAGACUUAUUAUAGACCAAGAUGCUCUUUCACGGCUAAAGUUGCUCAACAAGUCUCUGCCUGAGUCCAAAUGUGUGGACAAUUGUUGCCCUGGAUUUGUAAAACGGGCUCGGAAAGAAGAACCAAUUUGCUGCUACGAUUGUAUUCCUUGUCCGGAGGGGACCAUCUCCACACAGGAAGAUACUGAAAAAUGCACCAAGUGCCCAGAUGACAAAUAUCCCACUGAGGACAGAAUCCAAUGUAUCCCCAAAAGAAUAACCUUCCUGUCCUAUGAAGAACAUCUGGGCAUCAUCCUGGUCUCCUUUGCUGUACUCUUGUUUCUAACAACAGGCCUUGUUUUGGUCAUAUUUGUUAAACACCUAGA